AGAGUUUGAUCCUGGCUCAGGACGAACGCUGGCGGCGUGCUUAACACAUGCAAGUCGAACGGGAGGAAAAGAGAAGCUUGCUUCUUUUUGAAUCUAGUGGCAAACGGGUGAGUAACACGUAAACAACCUGCCUUCAGGAUGGGGACAACAGACGGAAACGACUGCUAAUACCGAAUGUGUUCCGGAGACCGCAUGAUUUCCGGAAGAAAGGAUGGCCUCUAUUUAUAAGCUAUCGCCUGAAGAGGGGUUUGCGUCUGAUUAGGCAGUUGGUGAGGUAACGGCCCACCAAACCUACGAUCAGUAGCCGGUCUGAGAGGAUGAACGGCCACACUGGAACUGAGACACGGUCCAGACUCCUACGGGAGGCAGCAGUGGGGAAUCUUCCGCAAUGGACGAAAGUCUGACGGAGCAACGCCGCGUGAGUGAUGACGGCCUUCGGGUUGUAAAGCUCUGUGAUCGGGGACGAAUGGCUGGUAUGCUAAUACCAUAUCAGAGUGACGGUACCCGAAUAGCAAGCCACGGCUAACUACGUGCCAGCAGCCGCGGUAAUACGUAGGUGGCAAGCGUUGUCCGGAAUUAUUGGGCGUAAAGCGCGCGCAGGCGGCUUCUUAAGUCCAUCUUAAAAGUGCGGGGCUUAACCCCGUGAUGGGAUGGAAACUGGGAGGCUGGAGUAUCGGAGAGGAAAGUGGAAUUCCUAGUGUAGCGGUGAAAUGCGUAGAGAUUAGGAAGAACACCGGUGGCGAAGGCGACUUUCUGGACGACAACUGACGCUGAGGCGCGAAAGCGUGGGGAGCAAACAGGAUUAGAUACCCUGGUAGUCCACGCCGUAAACGAUGA
rnacentral:rRNA from 1 species